rnacentral:rRNA from 1 species
UACGUAGGGUGCAAGCGUUAAUCGGAAUUACUGGGCGUAAAGCGUGCGCAGGCGGUUAUGCAAGUCAGAUGUGAAAUCCCCGGGCUUAACCUGGGAAUGGCAUUGGUGACUGCACGGCUAGAGUGUGUCAGAGGGGGGUAGAAUUCCACGUGUAGCAGUGAAAUGCGUAGAGAUGUGGAGGAAUACCGAUGGCGAAGGCAGCCCCCUGGGAUAACACUGACGCUCAUGCACGAAAGCGUGGGGAGCAAACAGG